rnacentral:rRNA from 1 species
GCAAGUCGAACGCGAAAGAGACCUUCGGGUCUUGAGUAGAGUGGCAGACGGGUGAGUAACGCAUAGGAAAUCUACCCAAGAGUGGGGAAUAACUAGCCGAAAGGCUAGCUAAUACCGCAUAAAGUUGUGUUACUUAAGUAAUGCGAACAAAGGGGGGGCUCUUCGGACCUCUCGCUUUUGGAUGAGCUUAUGUCCUAUUAGAUAGUUGGUGGGGUAAUGGCCUACCAAGUCGAUGAUGGGUAGCCGAGCUGAGAGGCUGAUC